GCCUACGGCCAUACCACCCUGAGAACGCCCGAUCCCGUCUGAUCUCGGAAGCUAAGCGGGGUCGGGCCCGGUUAGUACUUGGAUGGGAGACCGCCUGGGAAUACCGGGUGCUGUAGCCU
ensembl:rRNA 5S_rRNA 5S ribosomal RNA